UACGUAGGGUCCGAGCGUUGUCCGGAAUUACUGGGCGUAAAGAGCUCGUAGGUGGUUUGUCGCGUUGUUCGUGAAAACUCACAGCUUAACUGUGGGCAUGCGGGCGAUACGGGCAGACUUGAGUACUGCAGGGGAGACUGGAAUUCCUGGUGUAGCGGUGGAAUGCGCAGAUAUCAGGAGGAACACCGGUGGCGAAGGCGGGUCUCUGGGCCGAUACUGACGCUGAGGAGCGAAAGCGUGGGGAGCGAACAGG
rnacentral:rRNA from 1 species